rnacentral:rRNA from 1 species
AUGGCGGCGCUCCGCUGCGCGGCGAGGAGGAUCGUCGGCGACCAGCCACCGCAGCUGGUAUGCAGGGCGUCUGUGGUGGAGGGGCGACGGCGUAUGUCACCGGCGGUCAUCGACCGCGGUUCGUCCGCCCGUCCUCGCUGCUUCUCCUCGCAGGGUGGCGAUGAUGAUCCGCUUACAUCUGAAGAGAAGAUGAGACUAUUUAAAAGGGGCGCUCACUUGAUCUUCAGGAUGACAAAAGCCAUCUCCACCGUUGUGGUCUGCGGAAUAGUCAUCAAGUGGUCAGUAACAGAGGUGUUCCGUCCUUACCCGACAAGCGAUUGUGCACGUGCUGUCCGGAAAUGCCGUGAGAUGCUACAGGGUCUACGGGGCAACCCUCCAACAUUGGAGGUUGGUCCUGUGCUGGGUGAUGAGAUGCUGGCGGCGGAGGUGGCAGCGUUCAAGUCCAUGGUGAAGGAUAUGAAGCGAGAAGCAGCGGAGAGACUGGAGGACUGA